AACUUGGUCAUUCCAGUGGUCAAC
rnacentral:misc_RNA from 1 species